CCCAUUUUGCAGAUAAGGAAACUAAGGCAAAAUGAGGUUCUGAAACUUACUAUCAAUCACACUGCUGAGAGGUGGUGAUAAGUUGGAAUUCUCGUCUAACUUUUCCUAAAGAGGUGAACACUGGAAAAACAUGACUGAUUCUGUGCAACUUGGAAAAGGAAAAGUCAUCAGCAAGUCCCAUCCUUACCACACACAAAUACAUUACAGAGAGGGCCAAGCUGGAGGUGGUGUUGUUGACAGAAACAUUGUAAGCAGAGAAGGUGAAUCAAUCCAUGGAGUAUCCCUAUCACACUGGAUGAAGAUGGAUGAGCUGGGAAUCUGAGCGAGAAUAAGACUUUAAAGAAUGUUCUCAAUGUGAUUGAGGCCGAAGAGAAGCAGAUUUCUCACCCCCAUGAGGUAGGGUUCCUUUCUAA
rnacentral:lncRNA from 1 species